GAGGACAGGUCAGGUGGCUCAUAAUGGGCAUCGUGCGAGAACCACUCGUACGAACAGAUUUGAUCUUAAGUGGCUUGUACGAGUGGUAUAGGAGAACUUGCCGCACAAACGCAGUAUAUGAGCCUGUUAGUUAGUCUGCCGUUGUCCAAACCUUAAAUUAUAAUACAAAAUAUUAAAUUACACUUCAUAAUUGCGUUGACAUUAUCCAUAUAAAUGUUCUCUCUGUCAGUGUGUGCUUUAUUGGCAGAGUUGGAUCAGGUGUGCAGGAGUUUGGCGGCAGCAGCAGCCUCCUCUGCUUUACAUGCCUUCCUCUCCCGAACAGUUAGUCUCAUUCCAGCUCUUGUAACGUGUCUCAGUGUUUUUGCUCCCUGGUUAAGGCCUUUUUCUUUCUGCCUCCAGUCAUUCCUGGUCCAACUCCUGCCUCCGUCCCACAGUCCCGAUCAGCCCGAACCUGCGCUGGAUCUACACAACUCUUCCCUCUGCUCGGAUCCUCAGUCCCUCUGGGCUGCCUGUCCACCUGCCUCGCCUGGUUUUGCUCCCCGAUUCAAAGCCCCACCCAAAACCAAGAGACCCUUAAAUUACUUACUUACUCUGUUUGGCAAUAAUCUCUUUUGCACAUUUUGGUCUCUGGGUCUGCUCCUUUAGCUUGCAUAACAGCUAUUGUGUAAUACUACAACAUCAAAAGGCUUAAAUGAUGCAGUAAUUGAAGGUUAAUUCGUCUCUGUACCUGAGAGACAAUCGUGAGAGGCGCAACUCCGCAGACAGCCACAACGAUCCAACCCUUUUCCGUUAAUUUCACUGCUGGCGCUGUUAAAAAUCAUAGAUUUCCUUUUUGAAAGCAGGACUCCAAUCUCCGAUCAGACGAUGUCGUUUUCAGGAAUGAACGCUUCUUGACAUAUGGGGCAGGAUGCCUUAUAUGGGUUCACUUACACACAUUACCUGAAGUGGGAGUGUUUGCUGAAUCGGACACGCAAACAAAAAACAUCAUCUUUCCAUCUCCCCCAGCGUAAACCGGCACCAGAGAGACGGUGUAGAGGGUGUCGGGCUGCAGGCUUCGCAAGAC